CCCGCCCUUGUAAAUGUGUUUAUCUUCCGGGAAGCUAGGUUGGUAGAGGGUGGUGGGCAGCCCUGAAGCUGAGGAAGUGCUGAUCGGAAGGAGAGACGCGGCGGGUGAUAUCAGUUUAAUCUAGGUUUAUGGACCACACCUGACUCCUUCCUUCCCUCCUUCUGCCUCCCAUAUUUUUGAUUUCUUCACAUGUAUUGUUUGUCAGGAGUGACUGAAAUAAAAAUAUAAUAGAGUCCAUCAUCAUCAUGGGAAUGGCUUUAAAAGAAAACUCGUCAGAGGAAUAUUACUGCUUCCCAUUGUCAACCAGUAAAUAGUUGCAAUUGAA